UACGAAGGGAGCUAGCGUUGUUCGGAAUCACUGGGCGUAAAGCGCACGUAGGCGGAUGUGUCAGUCAGGGGUGAAAUCCCGAGGCUCAACCUCGGAACUGCCUUUGAUACUAUUGGUCUUGAAUGUUGUUGAGGUGGGCGGAACGGGUCAUGUAGCGGUGAAAUGCAUAGAUAUGACCCGGAACACCGAUUGCGAAGGCAGCCCGCUAAGCAACUAUUGACGCUGAGGCACGAAAGCGUGGGGAUCAAACAGG
rnacentral:rRNA from 1 species